rnacentral:pre_miRNA from 1 species
UUAACUCAAAUUUGUAUGGAGUUGGAAUGUUUGACUAGGUUUGCCGCUAGGGGCGCUGUUCCAACUGCAUGCUAAAUUUGAGUUA